rnacentral:rRNA from 1 species
GACGAACGCUGGCGGCGGGCCUAACACAUGCAAGUCGAGCGAGCGGCGGACGGGUGAGUAAUGUAUGUGGAUCUGCCCGAUAGCGGGGGAUAACUACUGGAAAAGGUGGCUAAUACCGCAUACUAUCGGAUGAACCCAUAUGGGAUUAGCUAGUAGGUGGGGUAAAGGCUCACCUAGGCGACGAUCUCUAGCUGGUCGGAGAGGAUGAUCAGCCACACUGGGACUGAGACACGGCCCAGACUCCUACGGGAGGCAGCAGUGGGGAAUAUUGGACAAUGGGCGAAAGCCUGAUGCAGCCAUGCCGCGUGUAGGAUGAAGGCCUUAGGGUUGUAAAGUACUUUUAGCGGGGAGGCGGUACCCGCAGAAGAAGCACCGGCUAACUCCGUGCCAGCCGCCGCGGUAAUAC